AAUAGCAGUAAACCAUGAGUCAUUCUGGUGGGUCUCCUUCAAAGCGUGUGUCACACAGAGCAACAGAUGGGUUCGAUUCCCCACACCGGGAAACUUCCCGGGUUGCCUCUCCUAGCGUGGCUCGGUGCUGCCAUGCCCUUUCUCAGCUUCACAUGGUUCAACGUCUGCAGGCGCCUGCGAUGCCUUCGCUCUCUGUGGAAAGAUGCAUGGUAUGAAGCAUUUUCUUCUUGUGUGCAGUAUUUUAACAUCCACAUGUGAUACAACGAUAUAAAAUGAGCAAGACACCACUUCAGAAAUGCACCUCCUGCAAGAAGACAAUGAGAUCUGUGAUGAACCUUAGAUCCUGUAGGAAUUUCUUCAAGAGUGUCAAGCUGGACCCCAAAGUUAGGCUUUCUGCUCUUAAUUUAAAGCUUUGCACAUGCUACAGACAAUCUAUUUUGCCAGAGCAGCAUAGCUGCUGAUCAUGAUCUUCACCUCAUGUGAGUUAAUCUGGUGGAUAUGUAGACACUAGGUAGCAGAGGGCCUUGCGAGACGAAUGGAGAUGCUCAGCUUGGCUGGACAGGAGCUCCCCGGAGGCAGCUGAGCGCGCUGGCUGGGUGACGUGAUCCUGCCACCCAGGUGGGACGUGCCGCACGGCUCGGCUCUGGCUGAAGUUUCCUGCGGGCUGAUGGCCCCGUGCUCAGGAGCUGUGGGGAAGCACAUCCUGGGAUCCGGCAUCCUUUGAGAUGUCUUCAACACGCAAGGAUGAUGCACGGCCUGCCGCUGUGCCCUCUACCACAAGAUCCCAUCACUCUUUUAUAACUCGGUGUUUGAGGUUUGCUUAACAGAUUUGAGGAAAAACUUUUCUAGGAAAAAAAAAGGCACAGUAAAAGAAAAGUACCUGAUAUCAGGUGUAUCUGGAGGUUCCUCUCAGGCACAGAAGGGUCAGGAGUCCUAUGGAAACAGCAGAACUGGCCUCAUCACAUGCACACUCACCCAAACUACAUCAUAUACCCCAUCUGAAAGAAAUCUAAUUCUGAGAAACAUGAAGUGGCAUAAAUUAUGCGUGAAUUGUUUCCUUGCAAGGCCCUGCCUGAAUUGCUUCCUCGUGAGACCUGGGAAGCUGCAGCUGUGGGGCUGCCCCAGCGCCCGGCGGGGCGCAGCAGGGCGGCCGGGUGCCAGCGGGUGCAGAGGCGAUGGGAGGUGGCGGUGGGCUGCCGCCAGGGAGACCCCAGCCCGGACCAAAAAUGUGAAAGGACCAGAGGGCAGAAUAUUUUAGAGCCAUGAACAUUAGUUUCACGUGCUGCCUUAUAGAGGACGGAGACAAAAACUCCAAGGUUUUCCUCCCUAUCCUAAGGACUGAGAAUUUGACAGCCAGGAUGCCACAUGCAGCAGCACUGAGGUCCCUGCCCCUUUGUGGCUCCGUAAGCGAUAAGCCACAGAUGAACAAAAGCAUAUUCGGUCCGUGAGAAACAGGUUGAGGGGGCGUAUUUCUCUGCCACCGAACAUCUGUCUGCGACCUCGCUAGUUUUCUCCAGCCUGAGGAGGGGCAGACUUGGGAAACCUGAAGCAAGCCCUGGUGGGUCAGAAAAGCAUUGCGGAGGCAUUGACUCGUGUUCUUCGUGCUGGACCAAAGGCGCAGCGUGACGGCACCAUGAGCCUGACGUCUCCUACAACCUCUCCCUCCCGGCUUGCCGCGAGGCCCCGGCAGCAUGCUGGUGUGCCUGCAGGCGUGGUAGGAAGGCAGAACACGGAACACGGAGGAUAUCCCCAAAGCAGCAUGGCAGCUGUGGUAUUUACUGCAGUGUGGGGAUAGAUUACGAUGCAAGUCAGACUCAGACUGAAUAAAUAAAUGGUGCUGCAGCUUUCCAAUGCUACAGGCCUAACCUUUCCCAAUUCCUGUUGUUCCGAACGUAGCUUCCUGCCUCGGUGCGUGAACAAUGCUGGGAAUGAUUCUCGUGAUUUCCUGGGGCACUGUCUUCCUAUCUGACACAGCUUUUAAAGGGUCAAGACCAUAUGAUAAACAGUCAUUACGUUCUUCUCCAGGAAUAGCUGCAUUUCACUUGUAGAUGAAAUAUCCUGACACAUAAAGUUCAUACAGUGUUUCAGGGUUUCUCGAGAAGUGCUUGCAAGGUAUGACUGUUUAUUAGCUGUACAAAAGUAAAUAUUUGGAUGGCCUUUAACGCUGAAAUAGCGCACCAGAUGGAUCUACCCAGAGCUAAAUCCUCAUAAGGGAAAGAACUAUAGGAAGAGAAUAAAUAAGAGAAACAAAAAUAUGAGAGCUGGAAGAUGGAAUAUAUCUAUAUAUAUAUAUAUAAUUGUGCAAAAAGAUUAAAAGCAGAUAUUGC